CAAAGCACAGAAGGACCCAACUAUUCAGCUUUGCUCAAUAGGGCAGCCCAUUUCAUUCCUUAAAAAUGCAGAGAAGCAAGAUGAAUCGUUCUUUCUUGCUGUCUAUUCUGAACAAAAAAAUCAUGAGAUAAAACCUGGCUUGAACUUCAAAGGCACAAUGUUUCUCUCAGCACAGAUGUGAAAGAAAACCGGCCAGGGUAGUCUUUUUUUGUAAAAAUUAACGCAUGGGAACUGUUGAUUCAUGGCCUGAACCACUGAUUGAUCACCUGAGGCAAGCACUGAGUCAGCCCUGGGAGCACAGGUGAAGGUGAUUCAGCUUGUGAUUGGAAGGAGGGAGCCUGGCUGCACCUCUCCUAGACCCCAUUUAAGGGUUGACUGCUGCUCAGGAAGGAUUUCUUUCUCGAGAUCCUUUCUCUAUGGAGUCUUUCCUGUGAAUCCACGUCUCUGGAUCUAGGUGUAGCUUCAGAUUUGAAUAUCCUGAGGCUCUUCCGUUCUGGAUCCUGGCUUCAGUUCUGAGGCUGAGGUUGGUGUUGGCGUACAAAAGAUCUGCAGUGAGCACACAGCUGCACAGGAUGCUGAACUUUCCCUGGGGAACCUGUUCUUCCACUUCAGAUGGCUGCAGCUGUUGUCUUCACUGCCUGAGGGAAAUGUACAUCCUUGGGAAGAUGUUCAAAGUUGGAUUCAAAUCCUGGGGUUUACCAGCUCCCUUUGUGCCAUUAUGUGACUGCCAUGAGUGAAAGGCAUACACCUUUUUAACUUGAACAUUCCUUUACACCAAAUGUCUACCAGAAGGGGAAGCACAAGACUCAUGAGCUUCUCUUCGUUUUUUCCUGAGAGUUGGGCAAGCUUUCCUCUCUUUUGUUAAAUAUCCCUGCAGGAACUCCUAACACCAUGAGCAGAAUCAGUAAGUGAUAUCAACAGGGGCUCCUGGAACACUGCCCUUCUCCUUUGAAACAGGGUAGAUUAGAAGAACCAUCUUUGAGCAAGUUCUUCUUCUGGAGUGUUCAAGACACAAGAGCAGACUAAAAUCUCUCAUUCUUUUUUAUGAUUAUGAAACUGUGUUAUCACAUUAUUCCUGCACGUUAGUAUAGACAGAGUAAUUUUUUGUGGACUUAGAUUUACUUGUUUCUUGUAUAAAUCAAGACCCUUCAAUCCAUGAUUCAUUUUAAUUUUAUUUAGAGGGAUAUUUUAUGUCACUUCAUAUAAUUCCACUGAAUCAACUUGGUGGAUAUCCUUUACUACCAGCCAGAGUUUGUCCCCUAUCUCUUCAGUGUCUGCAGAAAAAAAUGCCUAUCUUUCCAAUUUUUGCCCCUGUGCUGCUCUUGGUAUGGUGAACUAAAGUGCUGCUUUUCAGUGCCAAAUCCUCCCUGUGCUGAACUUGACUUCAUUUGGCAGUAGGCAAUGGCUCCCUGGAUUACAAUUUACCCACUUAUCCUGGUUGGUGACAUCCUGGUAAACAACAGAAAAAAUGCCAGUGGCCACACAUAGAAGGUAUGUUGAAAUAUGAUGAUGAUUUAUAGGAUAUGAUAGGACUUUUGACCACCUUGUUUGAAGUGCCCUUGUCAAUCACAUCCAUGUUCUAUCAUCAUGUGAAGGGUUUUCUAUUGAUGUUUGUGGAAUGUUUUUGAGGAUCCCAGAGUUUCCUCCCAUCAUGGGCUUGUUCCUCAUUAUGUUGUAAGUUGUCCUUUUAGCUUUGCUAAGAUACUUUCCAAAUCAAUGACUUCUUGUUCCAUUCUUCUCUCAGUGGAAUCAGCCUUGCAGUCAUCUCAGUCAGGAAACUAAAAGGAGAUGGUAGCCCUUAUGGACAGAAUCUUGUUUACUGUAUCUUUUAGAGUUUACCCUUCAUUCCAAAUACCUUCCUAAGUAGUGUCAGAAUUGUUUCAGUUGGAAGAACAAUUUCUAUCAGCUGUUUCUAUGCUAGAUUAUUUCAGGGGUGAGCUGUCUGGCAUACCUAUGAUAUUAUGUCUCUUGCACUAAGACAAAAAUUAUUUGGAUAAAUGUGCUUGGGUGUAGUUACUCUGACAGUAUGAGUGACACUUGACCACAUAUCUCAAAGAAAAAGAGUUAUAGAUAAGCUACCUCUCCUAUGCUACUUUUCUAUUCAAUUAUCCAUUUCAUUAUGGUCUGUUUUCUACUUAAUUUCUUUAUUUUAUAAUUUAAAAACAAAACAACUUAUCUUCAGUACCUGCUUUUUUUUUUUUUGUCUAAUAUCUGACAUUUCCAAUCCUAGAAUAGAAACAACACAAUUUCUGGAACAGCUGCAAGAGUUAGCCUUUCCUAAUCCUGUCUUGCCUUUGCUUGCAGGUCACCACACUCACCACAGCACACUGUUCCAUGAGCUGAAUUUUCAUUUCAAUUGAUUUUAAUUUCAAAAUUCUUGCUGUAACUGCAUAUAGAAUAAUACUUGGGUGCUGUGUCCAACUAAACAGCUGCAGUCUUUUCAAACUCAAAGUGAUUAUCUAGUCUUUGCAUUUUCAUUUCUCUAACAAUUUUUGCCAUGAUUUAUUCUUUUUAGCUCUUUGUUUAUCUUCAGCUCUGAUCUGCAAACUUUUGCAGAAUUAUUUUGUUUCUUACAAGCACAAUGAAUUUGCCCAAAGGCUCCUUUGAUUUACAUUUUAUUUCAAAUCUUUGUGCAAUCUUUUAUGUGUUUCCUUGCAAAUCCACUCUGGUUGCAUUUCGUAGACUUCUGCAGAGUCUUCUGUUUUGUUUUGCAAUUGCAUCUUUUUACGGAUAUACAGUUUAAUACGCAUAAAGCAGCACUCAUCUCCUUUUUGAAUUCUUGUAUAAAACUGAUAUAUCUCCAACUUUGCAUUUCUGUAACUGAAGAAUACUGUUUAUUUAUUUAGGAAUAUAAGAAAUAUUCUUAGGAAUAUAAGAAAGACUUGACUUGUUUUGCCUCCAUUUUUUAGUGUGCUUCCUUGAAGUUAGAGACAUGCUGUAGUUGCUAAUGGUUCCUCUAAAAUUUCCUUUACUUGCUAUCUUGUCUGCUACUUCUGUAUCUAUUCUAUUGCCAGCACUACGUGUUUUUUCUGUGCUGGCAGUGAAAAUGAACUGAAAAUUGGGAUUUAUAAGUACAAGAAAUCACUAUUAUACCCAAAGAUAAGCUGAUGUUGGGAAAGAUCUGUGUGUCCUCCUUCAUCAGGUGGGUAGCACUGACUGAAUGAAGCAAAAGCUGCUUUUGAAUGCUUAGAGUGCUUUUUAACAGGAGUGUUAUUUAGUGUUCAUAGGUGUUAUGUACUUAAAAUGAUC